rnacentral:rRNA from 1 species
AGAGUUUGAUCAUGGCUCAGAUUGAACGCUGGCGGCAUGCUUAAUACAUGCAAGUCGAACGGUAACAUGCCCUCCGGGGUGAUGACGAGUGGCGGACGGGUGAGUAACGCAUAGGAAUCUACCUAGUAGUGGGGGACAACUUGGGGAAACUCAAGCUAAUACCGCAUACAUCCUACGGGAAAAAGAGGGCCUCUUCUUGAAAGCUCUUGCUAUUAGAUGAGCCUAUGUCAGAUUAGCUUGUUGGUGGGGUAACGGCCUACCAAGGCGACGAUCUGUAGCUGGUCUGAGAGGAUGAUCAGCCACACUGGGACUGAGACACGGCCCAGACUCCUACGGGAGGCAGCAGUAGGGAAUAUUGGACAAUGGGCGCAAGCCUGAUCCAGCAAUGCCGCGUGUGUGAAGAAGGCCUGCGGGUUGUAAAGCACUUUCCAUUAGGAAGAAAAGCUCAAGGUUAAUAACCUUGAGUCUUGACAUUAUCAAUAGAAGAAGCACCGGCUAACUCUGUGCCAGCAGCCGCGGUAAUACAGAGGGU